rnacentral:rRNA from 1 species
CCUACGGGAGGCUGCAGUGAGGAAUAUUGGUCAAUGGACGAGAGUCUGAACCAGCCAAGUAGCGUGAAGGAUGACUGCCCUAUGGGUUGUAAACUUCUUUUGUCAAGGGACAAAAUCAGGCUCGAGAGCCUGACCGAGGGUACUUGAAGAAAAAGCAUCGGCUAACUCCGUGCCAGCAGCCGCGGUAAUACGGAGGAUGCGAGCGUUAUCCGGAUUUAUUGGGUUUAAAGGGUGCGUAGGCGGGCUGUUAAGUCAGCGGUAAAAGCCCGGGGCUCAACCCCGGCGAGCCGUUGAAACUGGCUGUCUUGAGAUGUCGAGAGGUAUGCGGAAUGCGCAGUGUAGCGGUGAAAUGCUUAGAUAUUGCGCAGAACUCCGAUUGCGAAGGCAGCAUACCGGCGGCGAUCUGACGCUGAGGCACGAAAGCGUGGGUAUCGAACAGGAUUAGAUACCCCAGUAGUC